rnacentral:snRNA from 1 species
AUAUAUACCUGGACGGGGUUAAUGGGCGAUCAAUAAGACCCAUGGCUUAGGUUGGUGACCUCCAUUGCACUUUGGAGGGGUGCCUGGUUAAGGUCGGCCCAAGUGGUCGAGCCUACGUCAUAAUUUGUGGCAGCGGGGCCUGCGUUUUCGCGGCUCCUAU